GGGCGGCUAACUCAGCGGUAGAGUACUUCCCUCACACGGAAGGAGCCAUAGGUUCGAACCCUGUGCCGCCCA
rnacentral:tRNA from 1 species